rnacentral:rRNA from 1 species
AUUGAACGCUGGCGGCAGGCCUAACACAUGCAAGUCGAGCGGAUGAGUGGAGCUUGCUCCAUGAUUCAGCGGCGGACGGGUGAGUAAUGCCUAGGAAUCUGCCUGGUAGUGGGGGACAACGUUUCGAAAGGAACGCUAAUACCGCAUACGUCCUACGGGAGAAAGUGGGGGAUCUUCGGACCUCCCGCUAUCAGAUGAGCCUAGGUCGGAUUAGCUAGUUGGUGAGGUAAAGGCUCACCAAGGCGACGAUCCGUAACUGGUCUGAGAGGAUGAUAAGUCACACUGGAACUGAGACACGGGCCAGACUCCUACGGGAGGCAGCAGUGGGGAAUAUUGGACAAUGGGCGAAAGCCUGAUCCAGCCAUGCCGCGUGUGUGAAGAAGGUCUUCGGAUUGUAAAGCACUUUAAGUUGGGAGGAAGGGCAGUAAGUUAAUACCUUGCUGUUUUGACGUUACCAACAGAAUAAGCACCGGCUAACUUCGUGCCAGCAGCCGCCGUAAGAC